AACACCACAAAUUGAAGUUAGUUGAAUCUUGAAUGGCAUAUUAACUAGCAAUAGUUCAUCAGGUGGAAAUUGAAAACCAAAAGCAGAUUGUAUCUGUAUUAACAUUCCACAACAAGUUCACAUAAUAGCUUUUAGAAUUUACUCAUGGGUGUAUCUUUAUGUGCUUGCGGGAUGUGGCUUAGGAACCUAUUCCCUCAAGCGAAUUGAAAUAUGGUUAGAAAACAUUAAUUUCAAAGUGGGUCAUAGAAUGAAAAGGUACUUCACAAAGCAAUCACCUUCUGAAUAUCUUCUCGCAUAACGGCUUUGAGAUUUUCAAAGGAUGUCUAUUCAGAGGCGGACCUGGGCUUGUGCCUGGUGGGUCAAGUGACUCACCAGGGCCCAAAAAAAAUUAUAAGUUUUCUUUUUUUUUUAAAAAAAAAUAAAAAUAAAAAUAAAAAAUAAAAAAUUCUAACUUCAGCCUGUUCCCCUUUCACCUUCUCCUCGCCGCAGCUGCAACCACUGUGGAGAAAGAGGGUUUUGGGUUUUGGAGAAAGAGGGUGAUUUGUUGAGGGAGCUGAUAGAAAAGCAUCCAGAUUAUACAUUGACUUUUGCUGGUCACUCCCUUGGGUCUGGUGUUGCAACACUUCUGACAAUGGUGGCUGUGCAUAACCUAGAAAAAUUGGGAAAUAUUGACAGGAACAGCCCAGGUCCGCCACUGCAACCACAUUUCGCGUUCCCCUUUCAUUCUCCCUCCUCAUUCACUAAUGGUCAUGGUGGUCGUGAGAGAUAACGACUGUGUGGUUUGAUUUCUAGGAUUUUUUUUGGUGUUCAUGGGUUUCGAUUUGUAACUGUUGGUGGUGGUGGAGAGCAGCGAUGGUGAGGUUCGAUUUGUGCAUAUAGAUAUGCAAAGUAGCUAGAAUUUUGUAUGUGUUUGGCUUCAUGUGUGUUUUUCAUUUGCUAAUUGCCUAAUUUAAUUUACGAUUGGGGAUUUUUGAUGUAGGUUUUCUGUAUUUGGUUUAAUUAUGUCAUUUUUGUUUAAAUUUGUGUUUUGUGCCAGUUUUUGCUCGGAAAGUUGAAGGGGUUUUGUUAUCUACUAAUGGGUAAUAUUGCUUGAUUUAGUUGAAUAUUGCUUGAUUUAGUUGAAUAUGAACCGUCCAACCAAUUAUGAAUAGGGGUAAUUCGCUGUUGGGGUUAUUUGCAUAUGAUUCAUACUUGUGAUUUCAUUUGUUUUGUUAACUUUGUGUUUGAUUAGGUUGUUGAAUUUAUAUGCAGGGAAGACUCAGCUUAUCAAUCAUUUUCUAAUCAACAAGAGUUGGUAUAUUGUUAAUUUGCCUGGAUAUGGGUGAGUCUCUUUAAUUUUGGUUUUAAUUUGGGCAAUUUCUGUAAUUCUUGAGUCUAUUUCAUGCUGGGAAUAUUGUAUACUUGUAUUGUGAAUCAAUUGUUAUUCGUGUUUAUUCCUGAUCAUAUGCUUGAAUCAUAUUGAAGUGCCAAAAAAGGAUUGCUUUUACGCCUUGAGGCAUUGCUUCAAAAUUAUUGAUCAUCCUGUAAAACAUGUUGCGGACUGAUAUGUAUUUAGGCUACAUCCGUUGUAGUUAA